rnacentral:rRNA from 1 species
AACGAACGCUGGCGGCAGGCUUAACACAUGCAAGUCGAACGAGAUCUUCGGAUCUAGUGGCAGACGGGUGAGGAACACGUGGGAACAUCCCUUUCAGUUCGGAAUAACGUUGGGAAAUUAACGCUAAUACCGGAUACGUCCUUCGGGAGAAAGAUUUAUCGCUGAAAGAUUGGCCCGCGUCUGAUUAGCUAGUUGGUGAGGUAAUGGCUCACCAAGGCUACGAUCAGUAGCUGAUCUGAGAGGAUGAUCAGCCACAUUGGGACUGAGACACGGCCCAAACUCCUACGGGAGGCAGCAGUGGGGAAUAUUGGACAAUGGGCGCAAGCCUGAUCCAGCCAUGCCGCGUGAGUGAUGACGGCCUUCGGGUUGUAAAGCUCUUUUGUCCGGGAAGAUAAUGACUGUACCGGAAGAAUAAGCCCCGGCAAACUUCGUGCCAGCCGCCGCAGUAAUAC